UGGUGGUGGUGGAGAGGAAAGUGAGAUUGAGUGAGAGGUGGUGCAGUCAGUCGGCUAUGCACUUGUCCUGUAAGUCCAUGUGUCGCAUGAUUUAUUGGUCCCCACUCUCUCCGAUUACUUGAGAAAAGAAACUCGACUCUUAUUUUCCAUUUAUUUUGAGGCCAGUCAAGUCAUGCUAGCGUCACUCUUGGUAAUAUUUGCCGUGCUGCACUACCUCGUCCCUGGUCACCUCGAUAAGAAAAGGAACAAAAUGGGGAAAAUGUACGCGUAAUUGGAACAGGCGGGCUGGAUCAUGACCGUGAUGAGGCAUACAUAUGUACAUAGAUCGACCUAGUGCUGAGAUGUGAGUGAGCCAGACAUUUGGACUGAAUGAGACAGCCACCGAGAAGUCGAAAUGGUUGACAGGCAUGACUUGCCCCUUCAUCAGAAAGGAUUUACAUUUUCUUGCAGUUCCAUUCCCUUAACUUUUCUACCUCAGUCUGCAGUACGGUCAUGUCUGACAAAGUGAAAUACGCCCGAAGGUGUUACGUUAGCUAUGCAACGCCUUGUGCCGAAUUACACAUUUCCGCUGCCCUCAUUUUUCUUUGUCGAAAAUAAAGUGACCAAGGAGCAGCAGACUUUCACUCGAAAUUCUCCGACCUCUUCUCACUCUUCUUCUGACGGCGGCGAAUCAGUCGGAAAACUUUGAAGGAUUAAAGUCAGUCAGUUGAUCUUUC